AUUGAACGCUGGCGGCAGGCCUAACACAUGCAAGUCGAACGGUAACAGGAAGAAGCUUGCUUCUUUGCUGACGAGUGGCGGACGGGUGAGUAAUGUCUGGGAAACUGCCUGAUGGAGGGGGAUAACUACUGGAAACGGUAGCUAAUACCGCAUAACGUCGCAAGACCAAAGAGGGGGACCUUCGGGCCUCUUGCCAUCGGAUGUGCCCAGAUGGGAUUAGCUAGUAGGUGGGGUAACGGCUCACCUAGGCGACGAUCCCUAGCUGGACUGAGAGGAUGACCAGCCACACUGGAACUGAGACACGGUCCAGACUCCUACGGGAGGCAGCAGUGGGGAAUAUUGCACAAUGGGCGCAAGCCUGAUGCAGCCAUGCCGCGUGUAUGAAGAAGGCCUUCGGGUUGUAAAGUACUUUCAGCGGGGAGGAAGGGAGUAAAGUUAAUACCUUUGCUCAUUGACGUUACCCGCAGAAGAAGCACCGGCUAACUCCGUG
rnacentral:rRNA from 1 species